AGGAGGAACAGCCCCAGUGGCGGGGCAGCUCUGGAGCCCUGGAUUCAGCUCCGGCAGGAACUCCGUCUGUAGGGCCUGGAGGCUCCGGGGCGGG
rnacentral:pre_miRNA from 1 species